GACGAACCGUGCGAACGUUGUUCGGAAUCACUGGGCUUAAAGGGCGCGUAGGCGGGUCAGCAAGUCAGGGGUGAAAUCCUGGAGCUCAACUCCAGAACUGCCUUUGAUACUGGCAACCUAGAGGCUGGAAGAGGUUAGUGGAAUUCCCAGUGUAGAGGUGAAAUUCGUAGAUAUUGGGAAGAACACCAGUGGCGAAGGCGGCUAACUGGUCCAGAUCUGACGCUGAGGUGCGAAAGCGUGGGGAGCAAACAGG
rnacentral:rRNA from 1 species